rnacentral:lncRNA from 1 species
CUGACUCCAGGGACUUGCCUGGUCCCCUCCACCCCUGGAACUCCUGGACGGAAAAAUUGCUUUCAGAUGCCCUUCCUGGGCCCCUGGAAGCAUCUGGGUUCCCCCACCUCUUGAGCAAUUGGGGGUGACAACUGUGCCACUGUUUGCCACCACCAGCCUCCACCUCACUGAGCUUCAGAUCCUCCGCCUGGCUGGGCAUGACAGCAGUGCCCGUGUGGUGGGGUGGGGUUGUCGGGGUGGCAUGGUGCCCGCUUAGGCAGUGUUCACUGCUGCUGCUAGGGAGGGCGCAGGGUGGUGGCCCCCAUCUAAGCCCGGGUCCCCUGGGCUGUUGGCAACUGCCGCUCCGGUUCUGCUGGCCGAACCCCUCCUGCCCUGGGAAGCCGCUUCCCAUGCUGUUGGGCACCAUUUCUCGCGGAAUUGCAUGAGCCCUUGUCUGAGGACCUCUGUGACUGAGUCCUUGAACCUUUCCAGGAGCUGCCUCAGGCUGGUCUGGUGGUUGCGGGAAAAGGGUUGAGUUGGGCACACCUGCACCUGGCAUGGGUGUGGCACGUGGGGAGGCAGGUGGCCAUGGCCUGUGACUUCCGUGGCCUGGCUCAGGAGUCCCAUCCCCAGGCGUCUCCACCUCUGCCCCUCCCACCUCUGCCCUUCCCACCUCUGCCCCCAACCUGUGCCCCCUCCCUCUUCUACCCACCC